UUCAAGUUGCAUUAUCAGUACCAUAACCACUACAUGUCAAUAUAGUGGUUAUGGUCUCUAUAGGCCAAUUUUGAGUCAAGCUAUUUUUGAGUAGUCCACAGGUCUGCCCCCCUCACUGGAAUUGCUAAUACAGAAGUUUCACUCCCCUUUAAUCUCGUCCAUAGUUUAAAACUCUCCAUUGGCUUGCUUGCUCUGCUAAUAAAAGUCUUCAAAAUGUGAUUUAUACAGCAAUAGACAGAUUCCACUUUUAAGCAAAGCUAAUAAGAACAUAUCAAUACACAUAAUCAUGCUGAGACAAAUAAAUUAUAGCAGUAAGGUUUAAAUGCAGAAUUCUCAUACUAUGGAGAGAUAGAUCUGGUGUACACGUGAUGUUCUUUAUUAGUUAAAUGUUAACCAGUUAAACAGCAGAAGAUAUAGAGGGACUGUCUUGCUAUAGAACCUGGUACGGCCUGUCCAAGGUAUGUGCUUAGAGGUCACUUCUGCAGAAAACGCCACUAGUUCUUCCUCUGGAAAUUUGUUUAAAG